rnacentral:rRNA from 1 species
CGGGUGAGUAACACGUGAGUAAUCCACCCUCGGUACCGGAAUAGCCCGGGGAAACUCGGAUUAAUGCCGGAUGGCCCAUUUGCUCUUCGGAGCUGAAUGGAAAAGAUAGCUUCGGCCUUCGACCGGGGACGAGCUCGCGGCGGAUUAGCUUGUUGGCGGGGUAACGGCCCACCAAGGCGACGAUCCGUAGCUGGUCUGAGAGGACGAUCAGCCACACUGGGACUGAGACACGGCCCAG